AGGGCCUGAGCCCGGGGCGGGGGCUUGGCAGCAAGGUGUGUGAACCAGUGAGUCAGGACCGGGCGUCUCCACUGAGGGCCAAAAGCUGAGCGUAGAUGCCCCGGUGCCAGGAGCCCAGGCUGCUUCGCUCCUGCUCCUGCCAUCGUGCGGCGGUCGGGGGAGGGGCCCAGAUUCUCAGCCCUUGGCAGGGCAGAUCCACCAGUCGAUGCAAAGCAAGUGUUUCAGGGACCAAGUGGGCCCAGCCCUGUCCAGGGAGACAGAAGGGAGGAAGCCCUGCCCUGGUCUGGAGAGAGGACACCCGGGUCUGUGCGCAGGGAGCUCUCGGGCUGGCAGUCCAGACAGACAGGGCGCCUGAGGGACUCUCACCCAGCAGUGUUUUUGGAUUCAGGGAUAAAAGGAAAGAGGCAGUCCCAGAAGGCCCCUGUGAGAACGGAGCUGGAACGCCGAGGUGGGGCGACGUCCUUGGGGAAGCACCGGAAGCACCAGACGCAGCUGGGAGUCCCGGCCCCAUCCCUCCUCAGACUUCCCUGCAGGAGGUGCGCCGGGAGCUGGCCCAGAUGCGCGCGGAGCUGGAGAAGGUCUGGGACGUGCUGAGAGCUCGGGACUCGGAGCUGGAGGCUCAGCAGCGGGCCCUCGAGUCUGCCCAGAACCAGGCAGCAGAAGGUGGAGCAACUCCAAGCAACGUGGGCUCCGGCGCCUGCUGGACAGGCGCCUCUGGCCACCUCUCAGCUGCGGAAGAUCUCAGCCACAGCCUUGGAGCCACAGAGGAGAGCAGCUCCUCCAGGGGGAGCAGCCAGGCUGGGGAAGGAAGGCGGUGUGGAGGCGGCGGCCCAGGUUCACCGCCUCGCACACAGGAGACGGCGGUCGGGCCCUUGCCCACCCAGAGAGCCGGCAAGUCCCAGCACGUAGAAGUCGAGCUGGAAGGCCUCAGGGAACCAGCGCUGGACAAGGACUCCGUGGGGACGGGGAAGAUCCCUUGGCUACACCCUUAGCCCCCAAGGCCAGGGUCUCUGUCCAGCAUGGGGCCAGGGGCUGGCAGCUACAGUAAGAGGCCUUGCUGGCACAACAUUGCCAACAAGGUUCCUGGCCCUUGGGCCCAGAGGACCCAGCAGCUGGGAGCAGAGCUGGGCAGGAGUGGCCAGUGGUGGCGCUGGGGUGCCUGUGGGGCUGGGCUGGCCCCUCGCUCGCCGGGCCUCUGGCUCACUGGUGAAGGCCUUGGGCACUGGGCUUUAAGCCCGUUUGCUCUUAUUCAUGAUGCCUCAGAUUACACUAUAGCCUCACUUUCAGACAAGGAAACUACCCAGAGAAGGGAAGUAAUGUGUCCUAGGUCACUAACAGCAGCUUAGCCCUCAUCUUCUGAAUAGUUCCCCAAAGGUGGACUAUUCUGAGCUUGACAGCUUGGCCAUCCUUAGCAGCCACAGGCAAGGCCAGCCUAGGGUUGACAUUGUCCUUCAGGCCGUUUGGCCAUCCUUAGCCAGAACUUUCCUCUCCUCUCUGUUGGUUGCUUCCUGCCCCCAAAGAACUCUGGCACCCAAGCCCGUGCCCCUGGCACCCUCCUCAACUCACUCAACACCCCUUUCCUCUAUGGCCUUAACUCAAGCAGUUUUGCAGAUGAGGGCGCUGUCCCGCCGUGGAGGGAAGGACACUUCGGAUGUUUUAUCAGCUCAUCUUCUGCACAAUGUUCUCUGCCCUCCCUGCCGUGCAGGGACUGCCGUGCCCUCCCUGCCGUGCAGGGACUGCUGUGGGGGCUGCCACGUUCUCACAUGGCCCCGUCAUGAGCCAAACUAGACCAAAGGGCCUUUCCUGGGAUCACUAGUCUUGGGACAAGAGGGUAGUUUCUCCAGUGCUGAGGAGUAGACAGACAAAACUUGAGAACUGUCAACUGCCCUUUCACCACCUGGAAAAAGCUGGGUUUCUGUGAGGGUGAGUGGAGCAGACAGUUCCCAGAAAGUGAAGUAGGGGUGAAGAGAUCUUAGUCCAGCCCAGGGGUUCUCGUGAUGGGGAAGAUGGAAACUUGAAAUUGGGUGGCCGUCUCACCUUGUCCUGUGUCUGGGCAGCAGAGUAUGCUGGUCUGCAGAGGGAUGGGAAUGCCCUCCACGGGCAAAGCUUCCUGGGUUCCAGGUCCUCCCUGAGGCCAACACAACAUCCAGACACUCAGGGGUCAGAGAAUAAAUCCCUCUCCUCUCUGUGUA
rnacentral:lncRNA from 1 species